GACAUAGGGAAGCAUGAUCUACUAUGAUUGCUCUAAACUCUAAAGUUCUAAACUAACCUGGACAGUUACCAACACUCAAGUUUGUUUCGGUUAGACGUUAACACGUUCAAAAUCUAUCCCAAAACCAACUUCUCGACACUGUCGCCUUCCAAGCCGUUCUAUUCUAACUGAGCUUUACUGUGCCUACCUGAUCGCUUCCUUGCAUUUGAUACGGGCGGUGGUAGCGGUUGCAGGUACUUAUCGCAGUCACUGACUCCAAUUCCCUUAAAAGCCUCAACAAGCUGACUUAAAAGAUGGGUCACGGAUUGCUUAAAAUUGUCUGAGCAGCUCUUGUCGCUCAGCUCCAGAUCUUGAACCCCGCCUUCAACUAGAGAUCCCACCUGAGCACCAUUUAUAUAUGCUUUGCAUGCCAC
rnacentral:misc_RNA from 1 species